GAUCCUGGCUCAGAUUGAACGCUGGCGGCAGGCCUAACACAUGCAAGUCGAGCGGUAGAGAGAAGCUUGCUUCUCUUGAGAGCGGCGGACGGGUGAGUAAUGCCUAGGAAUCUGCCUGGUAGUGGGGGAUAACGUUCGGAAACGGACGCUGAUACCGCAUACGUCCUACGGGAGAAAGCAGGGGACCUUCGGGCCUUGCGCUAUCAGAUGAGCCUAGGUCGGAUUAGCUAGUUGGUGGGGUAAUGGCUCACCAAGGCGACGAUCCGUAACUGGUCUGAGAGGAUGAUCAGUCACACUGGAACUGAGACACGGUCCAGACUCCUACGGGAGGCAGCAGUGGGGAAUAUUGGACAAUGGGCGAAAACCUGAUCCAGCCAUGCCGCGUGUGUGAAGAAGGUCUUCGGAUUGUAAAGCACUUUAAGAAGGGAGGAAGGGUUGUAGAUUAAUACUCUGCAAUUUUGACGUAACCGACAGAAUAAGCACCGGCUAACUCUGUGCCAGCAGCCGGGGUAAUACAGGGGGUGCAAGCUUUAAUCGGAAUUACUGGGCGUAAAGCGCGCGUAGGUGGUUAGUUAAGUUGGAUGUGAAAUCCCCGGGCUCAACCUGGGAACUGCAUUCAAAACUGACUGACUAGAGUAUGGUAGAGGGUGGUGGAAUUUCCUGUGUAGCGGUGAAAUGCGUAGAUAUAGGAAGGAACACCAGUGGCGAAGGCGACCACCUGGACUGAUACUGACACUGAGGUGCGAAAGCGUGGGGAGCAAACAGG
rnacentral:rRNA from 1 species